GACGAACGCUGGCGGCGUGCUUAACACAUGCAAGUCGAACGGAAAGGCCUGCUUUCCCUUGUGGAUUGCGGGUACUCGAGUGGCGAACGGGUGAGUAACACGUGAGUGAUCUGCCCCCAACUUGGGUAUAAGCCUGGGAAACUGGGUCUAAUUCCCGAUAGGACUGCAGGGUGGUGCCUGUGGUGGAAAACGAUUUUCUAGUGGUUGGGGAUGAGCUCGCGGCCUAUCAGCUUGUUGGUGGGGUAAUGGCCUACCAAGGCGGCGACGGGUAGCCGGCCUGAGAGGGUGGACGGCCACAUUGGGACUGAGAUACGGCCCAGACUCCUACGGGAGGCAGCAGUGGGGAAUAGUGCACAAUGGGCGGAAGCCUGAUGCAGCGACGCAGCGUGGGGGAUGACGGCCUUCGGGUUGUAAACUCCUUUCGACCGCGAGGAAGCCACCUGGUUGGAAGGGUGGUGACGGUAGUGGUAGAAGAAGCACCGGCUAACUACGUG
rnacentral:rRNA from 1 species